GUCAUGACACGCGUGCUGCACGAACAUCACGUGCAGAAGUGAUGUGAACAUCUGUUGGCGAACAGACGAUUCAGGGAGUCCGCCAUGAUGUUAAAAUUCCCGAAUCAGACAGAUACCAUAUUCAAAGAGGUGACCCCAAGCCGUAGGGUUGCAGUUUAUAUUUCGUCUUCAGCAGUGUCCGAAGAGACAAUACCUGUGAAGAUCCGGUUGAACGCCGUAUCAGCUGGAUACUCCGGGAUUGACGGCCCCUGCUCUCGGAUCAGAUUCAUCUGUCUGCUGUAGAACCACUUGAGUCGCUGCUGUGCUUCCCCCUCCACAGACACCCUGGCCGGCUGCCCUCCAGACAACGUCAACAUGGCUGCCAUGGGAAAGUUGUUCUGGUAAAAACAUGAUCCGCCAUGACACCUGUUCCGAGGUCGUUGCCUGUUGCGUGAUUAAUGAAGUAUAUGUCAGCCACCAUCCUUCACGUCUUGGGGUAAUCAGGGUCUGGGAUAUGUUGCCUCUAUAUUGGGCUAAUCGGAAGUCGUGUCUGUUUAGAAAGUCCAAAAAUGUCUCUAUGUGCCUAAUCAAAUAUGGAUAAAAUUUGUCUUUCGACAGAUA